GAUGAACGCUGGCGGCGUGCCUAAUACAUGCAAGUCGAGCGAACAGACGAGGAGCUUGCUCCUUUGACGUUAGCGGCGGACGGGUGAGUAACACGUGGGUAACCUACCUAUAAGACUGGGAUAACUUCGGGAAACCGGAGCUAAUACCGGAUAAUAUUUCGAACCGCAUGGUUCGAUAGUGAAAGAUGGCUUUGCUAUCACUUAUAGAUGGACCUGCGCCGUAUUAGCUAGUUGGUAAGGUAACGGCUUACCAAGGCAACGAUACGUAGCCGACCUGAGAGGGUGAUCGGCCACACUGGAACUGAGACACGGUCCAGACUCCUACGGGAGGCAGCAGUAGGGAAUCGUCCGCAAUGGGCGAAAGCCUGACGCAGCAACGCCGCGUGAGUGAUGAAGGUCUUCGGAUCGUAAAACUCUGUUAUUAGGGAAGAACAAACGUGUAAGUAACUGUGCACGUCGUGACGGUACCUAAUCAGAAAGCCACGGCUAACUACGUG
rnacentral:rRNA from 1 species